rnacentral:rRNA from 1 species
GAUGAACGCUGGCGGCGUGCCUAAUACAUGCAAGUCGAACGAGGUGCUUUUGUAGCAAUACGAGAGUAUCCUAGUGGCGAACGGGUGAGUAACGCGUUGGUGACCUACCCCAAAGUGUGGGAUAACAGUCCGAAAGGAUUGCUAAUACCGCAUGUGGUCUUCGGAUUUAGAAACUGAUGACUAAAGGAGCAAUUCGCUUUGGGAGGGACCUGCGUCCCAACAGCUAGUUGGUGAGGUAAUGGCUCACCAAGGCUACGACGGGUAGGGGACCUGAGAGGGUGACCCCCCACAAUGGAACUGAAACACGGUCCAUACACCUACGGGUGGCAGCAGUAGGGAAUAUUGCACAAUGGGCGAAAGCCUGAUGCAGCAACGCCGCGUGUGCGAUGAAGGCCUUCGGGUCGUAAAGCACUUUUCUGGGAGAUGAGCAAGGACAGUAUCUCAGGAAUAAGUCUCGGCUAACUACGUGCCAGCAGCCGCAGUAAGAC